rnacentral:rRNA from 1 species
GAUGAACGCUGGCGGCGUGCCUAAUACAUGCAAGUCGAGCGAACAGACGAGGAGCUUGCUCCUCUGACGUUAGCGGUGGACGGGUGAGUAACACGUGGAUAACCUACCUAUAAGACUGGGAUAACUUCGGGAAACCGGAGCUAAUACCGGAUAACAUGUUGAACCGCAUGGUUCAACAGUGAAAGACGGUCUUGCUGUCACUUAUAGAUGGAUCCGCGCCGCAUUAGCUAGUUGGUAAGGUAACGGCUUACCAAGGCAACGAUGCGUAGCCGACCUGAGAGGGUGAUCGGCCAAACUGGAACUGAGACACGGUCCAGACUCCUACGGGAAGGCGCAGUAGGGAAUCUUCCGCAAUGGGCGAAAGCCUGACCGAGCAACGCCGCGUGAGUGAAGAAGGUCUUCGGAUCGGAAAACUCUGUUAUUAGGGAAGAACCAAUGUGUAAGUAACUAUGCACGUCUUGACGGUACCUAAUCAGAAAGCCACGGCUAACUACGUG